AAUUUUUAUCAUUAUUUAUGUUUCACCAUGACACUCUUAUAUUGAUUCAAGUUUUUUUUUUUCAAAUGAGAAAUAUAAUGUAAUGAUUGUGCUUAGGGCUGCACAAUUAAUCGAAUUUCUAAUCGCGAUCACGAUUAUGGAUGCCACGAUUACGUAAUCGUCCAAAGCCACGAUUACAAGAAAAAAAAAAAAAUCUGCGUGCUUAAGGGGCGUGUUUAGAUCGUGUCACGUUGUGACAGACAGGCAAAUCAACACUUUUAAUACUAGUCUGUAGGCGUGUCCUUACACUAUCAGAUCUGUAUCUCCAUGAACAUGUCUGCAGAUAAAGAAACAUCUGAUUCCGAUAACUUACAAAGUGUUGCUCAGAAUCCCCCACUUGAACCGAAAAGAAAAGCUACAUCUGUGGUCUGGAAUUAUUUCGGAUUCACUAGAGAUGACGUCGAGCAGCGUGUUAUAAUAUGUAAGUUGUGUCGAACAACUGUUUCUGCUCCAUCAAGCAACACCACAAAUUUAUUCAACCAUUUAAAAUUCAAACACAGAGUGCAAUAUGAGGAGUGUGUCAGCGUAAGAAAAAAAGCACCAAGUGACGCGAGAACUGCAACACAGACACCCAUAACGAAAUCGAUGUUUGUUUUUCUCCGUACCCGGCAGGUUCCCAAAAGCAGAUCGAGGUAACUGAAGCGAUCGCGCAUUUUAUAGCAAAAGACAUGGUACCAAUUAAUACAGUUUGCAGCGCGGGGUUCAAAAAACUCAUAAGCACACUGGACAAGAGAUAUGUCAUCCCCUCCCGCAAUUAUUUUUCUCAAGUUGCGCUACCUUCACUUUAUGCAAAAUGCCGCGAAAGCAUUGAAUCAGAUCUGCAGAAAAUUGAGUUCUAUUCUACCACGACUGAUUUAUGGUCAAGUAGAACUAUGGAACCAUAUAUGAGCUUAACAGUUCAUUACAUUGACGACGAGUUUCAACUCAAAAGCAGAUGCUUGCAAACGUCCUAUUUUCCGCAAGAUCAUACCGGGGAUGCGAUUUCUCAAGGUUUGAAAGAGAUGUUGGAUGCCUGGAAUUUAAAGGAGGAGCAACAAGUCUGUGUCACAACAGACAAAGCAGCAAAUAUAGUGAAAGCUGUUGCUAUAAAUAAGUGGAGCAGACUUCAGUGUUUUGGACACAGGCUGCACCUAGCAAUUGAACAUUCUUUGAAAGAUGGACGGAUUGACCGUGCAUUAAAUGUCUGCAAAAAGGUGGUAGGGUGCUUCUCCUACAGCUGGAGACGAAGGAGGGAGUUGUCCGAGGCCCAGAAAGAGCUCAAGUUACCUCAACACAAGCUCAAGACUAAGUGUCCGACAAGAUGGGGCUCAAAACAAGCAAUGAUUGCCAGGGUAUUGGAACAACAGAGUGCCAUUUCUUUUGUUCUCUCUGCGGACAGAACAGCUAGACACCUUGUCCCCACAUGGCAGGAUGUAGAAGUCCUUGAGGCGGUCAACAACUCCCUUUCUCCACUUGCUGAAUUCACUGAUGCUCUUUCAGGAGAGCAAUAUGUAAGUGUAUGUGAAGCCUGUUCAUUUGUUCAACAACAAAAUCUUGGCAGAGAAAGUCGGAGAAACAGAACUGUCAAAAUGCAUCAAGAAAAAUAUCCUGGACUACCUGAAUGAGAAAUUCGAUGAUCCACUGACUCAAGAGUUGCUUGACAUGGCUUCUGCAGUUGAUCCCAGAUUCAAGCUCAAGUACGUCAAUGAAAACAGAGUUGAAGCUGUCAAGAUUCGUUUGAGAACUGAAAUGGCAUCAGUAUCUACAGUAAAGCCUCCACCAUCUGUGACUGUUAGAGUGGAAGCAGAUGACCAAAAUGCACCAGCACUAAAGAAGACCAAAAAAACUCUGGGCAGCUUCUUUAAAGUGGAUGAGGACCAGAGGCCAGCAUCGCCAUCUCUCUCCAAUGUCCAAGACAUGACCAUUACUGCUGAGCUACAGUCUUAUUUUCUCUCUGCUGCUGUUGAUAGUGAGAAGGAUCCAUUGGUCUGGUGGAAGGAACAUGCAAAACAAUUCCCAGCACUAUCCAAGUUGGCACAAAAGUAUUUGUGCAUUCCUGCCACAAGCUCUCCCUCGGAAAGAGUAUUCAGCACUGGAGGAAACAUUGUGAAUUGUUUGCGUGCAUCCCUAAAACCUGAAAGUGUGGACAGGCUUGUGUUCCUUGCCAAAAAUCUUUAAAAUUCUAACUUAAUGUUGUUCAUUCCUGAAAACUCGAAGUAUUUUUAUGGCUUGUGUUCUAGGCCAAAAUACUUAAGGCAAUCUCAGUUUUUUUCUUUCUACAGGUUAUCUUGAGUUUUUCCAUUGUUUUAAUUUUAGUUUUAGUAUAACAAUUAUACCAUGCAUGCUAUUGCAUAUUUGUACUUUUUUAUUUAAAGAAACCAAACUAAUGUAUCGUUUACAUUUGUGGCAAUGAGAAAAGCAAUAAAA